rnacentral:rRNA from 1 species
GAUGAACGCUAGCGACAGGCUUAAUACAUGCAAGUCGAGGGGCAGCAAGACACUUCGGUGUUGUUGGCGACCGGCGCACGGGUGAGUAACGCGUAUGUAACCUACCUUGUACAGGGGAAUAGCCUUUGGAAACAGAGAUUAAUACCCCAUAUUAUCCAUUUUUCAUAAGAAAAGUGGAUGAAAGUUUUAGCGGUACAAGAUGGGCAUGCGUCCUAUUAGUUUGUUGGCGGGGUAACGGCCCACCAAGACUACGAUAGGUAGGGGUUCUGAGAGGAUGGUCCCCCACACUGGUACUGAGACACGGACCAGACUCCUACGGGAGGCAGCAGUAGGGAAUAUUGGUCAAUGGGCGAAAGCCUGAACCAGCUAUGUCGCGUGCAGGAUGAAGGCCUUAGGUCGUAAACUGCUUUUAUGUGGGAUAAAUAAAGUCUCUGCGGAGACUGAUGAUAGUACCAUAUGAAUAAGCACCGG